CCAGGUGAGGUAGGCGGGUCAAGCGGUUCAGAUGGGGACGGCUGCGGAUUUGCUGUUUUGUCCCAAACAGAGAACAGCUAUCCAUGGCGUUGUGGUCGCACCAAACGAGUAGGUGGCGGGUCUACUUAGAAGACAAAAAGCCUUUCCUCUAAUUCUAUGUUUGAAAAUGAGUUAAAAUUUUUUUAUAGCAGGACAAUAAUAGAGGCAGAUCUUGGUUGCCGGCUUAGACUUCCACUGCGCAAACGCCACCAUCAAUGCUUUCAGUGCAGGUCCCACCUUAGCCGGUGGACAUGGCAGGUGAUGAAUUCCUUUCCAGCUACUUUACCCCAUGACGAAUUCAAUCAACACACCAAUUUAAAAAACAAAAUAAUAAUAAUAAUGACGUUCAAAACUUUGUUAAUACGUGCUCCUCUUCUUAAUUAAAUAUGUCAAAUUUGAUCAUUAUAUUCUUAUCUAAGUUUAUGAUUAUUGUUGUUAAUUAUCAUAUUUUUUUUAUGAAGAUUGAGGUUGAAGAUGGUAUUUGUGCAAAACUUGCUUUUAUUCUCAUUUUUUUUUCUAAAAGCUAAGAAUUUUGCUACUAGGAGUUUCAAAGAUUCCAAAAUAAUUUGAAGAAAUAACAGGAUUAUCAGCGGAUGGUGCCGCACAAACAACACCAAGUAUGACGCAAGACAAAUGUAAAAGGAUGCCAUUAUUUCUAGUAAUAACCGGUUCUCAGCCACGCUGAUGAACCACCAACCCCCUCUUCCGAACAUCGUUAAUUCAAUAAACGUAAUCUUCAACAGCGGUCCGUAUUCCUAUAUCUCCUUCGAUCAGAACCAUCAAACGCAAGAUCAUGCAUUUGACGGCUGGAUAGGUAGAUCGCCGGUGACUCAGAAUCAAAGAGAGCAUGAACAAACAGAGAGAGGACGGAGAGAGAGAGAGAGAGAGAGAGUACGUACGUAGGUGUUGANNNNNNNNNNNNNNNNNNNNCAGAGAGAGGACGGAGAGAGAGAGAGAGAGAGAGAGUACGUACGUAGGUGUUGAGCUGGCGGACGAAGCUGGAGAAGUUGUUGUGCUUGAAGUGAGCCGGGAGGAGAUCCCUUGCGAACUCCACCGGCUUCCACACCACGAACGACC
rnacentral:lncRNA from 1 species